rnacentral:misc_RNA from 1 species
UUGAUUUUAGUUAUUUGUGAACGUACUACGAAUUAACAACAAAAUAUCUACUAGUCAAAACAAAAUAAAUCA